GCCCUGUUAGCUCAGUUGGUAGAGCAGCUGACUCUUAAUCAGCGGGUCCUAGGUUCGAGUCCUAGACAGGGCA
rnacentral:tRNA from 1 species